AUUGAACGCUGGCGGCAGGCCUAACACAUGCAAGUCGAGCGGAUGACGGGAGCUUGCUCCUUGAUUCAGCGGCGGACGGGUGAGUAAUGCCUAGGAAUCUGCCUGGUAGGGGGGGACAACGUUUCGAAAGGAACGCUAAUACCGCAUAAGUCCUACGGGAGAAAGCAGGGGACCUUCGGGCCUUGCGCUAUCAGAGGAGCCUAGGUCGGAUUAGCUAGUUGGGGGGGUAAUGGCUCAACAAGGCGACGAUCCGUAACUGGUCUGAGAGGAUGAUCAGUCACACUGGAACUGAGACACGGUCCAGACUCCUACGGGAGGCAGCAGUGGGGAAUAUUGGACAAUGGGCGAAAGCCUGAUCCAGCCAUGCCGCGUGUGUGAAGAAGGUCUUCGGAUUGUAAAGCACUUUAAGUUGGGAGGAAGGGCAGUAAGUUAAUACCUUGCUGUUUUGACGUUACCGACAGAAUAAGCACCGGCUAACUCUGUGCCAGCAGCCGCCGUAA
rnacentral:rRNA from 1 species